GGGACCACAGCUCAGUGGUAGAGCAUCUACUUUACAUGUAGAAGGUCCCAAGUUUGGUCCCA
rnacentral:tRNA from 1 species